UAACCUUAUUCCAUAGAGGAAGGAGAAGUCGUAACAAGGUUUCCGUAGGUGAACCUGCGGAAGGAUCAUUGC
rnacentral:rRNA from 1 species